CUAUAUGAUGAUGUAUUGUGUUAAUCUGAAGCAGUCUGCAUCACAGCUGUUUUAGAGCAUAUUGCUCAAGUCUCCCAUUUCUGAUUGUACCCUUGGAGACAGCCUAAAGGGGAAAAGCUUUGUGCCUGAGGAAAAAGGUUCUCAGCAUGUGUGCAGAUUUUCAAUUUGAGAAGACACAUCAUGUUGCCUUUUUAGAAUAAGAGUCUGGAAAAAGAUAAAAAAGUGAAAAUAUUUCUUUUUAUCAUUCUGAUAGAAAAUUAAAGAAUCAUAGAAUAUCUCAAGCUGUAAGGGACCCAGAAGGAUGAUCGAGUUCAACUUCUGCAUGCAACUGAGUGAAACAGAAAGAUGCAUCAAUUAAGGAAGCUCCAGGAUAGAGCAGUAAAGAGCAUUAAGCAGCCAAAGAAGGAAAUUGAUCUGCAUGUGGGGAUUUUCGAUGGAAGCAAUUAUUUCUUCAAGGGAAUCUUUGAUUUCUUCAAGACCAGGAACACGAAUGGAAAUGUUCUGUCUGUGGCCCAGCAUGAAGAGGACAAAAGUUGCAAACUAAGUAAGAAACAGCCACAGUCAUCUCAUAUUCAUCCGUCUAAAAAUCACCAUGCAGAGAGAAGGAGCUUGCAGAUGCUAAGUAUUUUCCCUUCAUGGAAUUCCUUGGGAUAUUGCAGCAGACUGGCCUGCUGGAAUGCACACAUUUAGUGGGAAGAUUUUGCAAACCAAAGAGAUCUGAACUCUCUAAUCACUAAGAGUGGGUUGGUCAUUUCUAAUCAUGGCCAUUGGUAUCUUGGCCUUGCUCUAGGACUGGUCCACAGAACGGUUGGGCAAGAGGAAACUUCUGUCUGCCUGGAGCUUCCCGGUGCUCUCAGGAAGUGAAAGCUCUACCAGUCACUGAGAAAAGUCAGAUUCAACAGCACAGAUCAAAAUCAACCAUGCACAUCAGCAGUACAUAUUACUCACAUUAUAACAUCAAGCACAGGGCUAAGGCUCUGGCUCUAGGAUCAGACCCCAGAGUAUGUGGCCCCAUAUUUCUUUACUCUAACAGCAGGAUUUGCCAACUACUUUUGAGCAACUGGGAAGAGAAGAAAAAAAACACUCACACAACACAGAGAUGCAUUUGAACCAGAGUCAAACCUUUCAAAUUUCAAAGGUGAUAAGAACAGGCCAUGAGUGGUCUCUCACUUAUCUUGGUAGACACAAACCACAUGUUAACCUGGACUCUGAGCUGCUGUUCUGUUCUUUCUUCCAGCUCUGAACUAACAGCAAACAAUUGAAGGGAGACAAGAUUGUGAGUUUUCCUUUUUCACCAGAUCUGAGUUCUUUGUUUGGACGAGUAUGCUAUUGUGCUAACUCUGUGCUGUUGAAGAUCACUGCAAUCUGCCAAGCUGGGACUAUGAUCAUUAAGAAAUAUGGGUACACAAAUCAGGAAUUUCUACUUUAAGCAUUUAAUUCCAAAAGAGAAUGUGAUAUUUUAAAAUGUUGAGGUUAAUAGAUGUAUUUUGUUCACAGAUUCAAAAGCUGUCAUGUAAUACAUGCUGGUAAGUCUCAUUUCUCCUGGAAAAGAGGGUUGUGCCAAUCCUACAUGCACUGCUACAUGCACUUUUCUGGAAAUGAACAGUGAGGACUUAGUAUACAACUGGUAGAAAUUUUGCCUUGUGUUUGCCUCACAGUUUUCUGAAGCUACAGAAGGAAGCAAGUCAACUCUCUAAUAUGAAUGAUUAGUGUUCCCUUCUAGUUAACGGAAAUAUGCAAGCUAGCCCCAGGAAUGUUUGGUCAAUUUUUAAAGGAGAUACUAGAAAAGAACACAGCUAGUGUUGCAGUUUAAAAAAAAAAUGGUGAACACAGGAUGGUUGAAUCAAAUGAU
ensembl:lncRNA